CGCCGGGAGCCGGGAAACCAAAAUGUUCGGUUUUCGAAGGCUGCCACCCGGCAGGGUCUCCCUUCCCCCAGCGGCCACUUAGAGGGCCUUGGGGACGCUAGCGGGGUGCUUGCCUCCUCCCCCGCCUCCAAGUGGGGCCACCGCGACCUCCCUGGGGACUCGAACACCACCACCUGGCGGCGGGGGGUGGCUUGAGCGUCUGUAUCCGAGCGCCCGCUCCCCUUGCCCAGAAAAUCCGCACCGACUGCAGCUGCAAGUCCCCGCCCACCUCCAUCGCGCGCACGCGCGCCAGCGGGAUCCGGUGCCGGAAGAAGUGGAAGGGCGAGUCCCCCACCACGGUCUGCAGGGGGAGAGCACACACCUUGAAGCCGUCAUCGGUGGCGAUGAGGAGAACCUCGAAGGGCUGCCCGUACUGGAAAGGAAUCCCCGAGCCGCGCUCCUCGCGGCCCCAGGUGCCGCGCUCCAGGCUGUUGAAGACCACCGCGGACUCGUCCAGCCGGGGGUUGAAAUGCAAGGCAGCGUCGGCGCCCUCCUCCUCGCUGCACAGCAGGUGCCUUGAGCAGGGCCUGGUACACGGAUGAAGCGAAGGAAUAAAAGACAGUGACAACAGCUUCCCUUUACAGAGCCUCUGAGCCUGCCCGGGGUGUGCAAGAAAUCAUUCAUUGCUCACAAGCCCGUGAGGGAGGGACAUUGAUCACCACAUUUUACAGGCAAGGACACUGAGGCUCAGAAAGGGGAAGCAAUUUGCCAAAGACACACAGCUGUGCUUCCUUCAUCUCUCUUCAUCUUUCUUCACCUGCAGGGAGCCAGCCCUGUCCUAACCUGCCUGUGAUGAUUGGCCAAAUGUUUGCAUCCACUCUUUUAUCUGUUUAAAAACUCAGCUCGUUUCUCCUGCUUCAGCUAUGUUGCGUGCUUGAUUCUUAUUCAUUUAUGUCCUUUAUCUGUUUUGUCAAUCCCAAAAUAAUAUUUCCCUGAGCUUUUCUGUGGAAUUAAUUAAUGCACUGUUUCCCAACGCUCUUUUUUUAAUCAAUAUAUAAUUUGCAUUAAAUAAAGCAUGUA